rnacentral:rRNA from 1 species
AAAGGAAUUGACGGGGACCCGCACAAGCAGCGGAGCAUGUGGUUUAAUUCGAAGCAACGCGAAGAACCUUACCAGCCCUUGACAUACUUUGAAGAUUCUAGAGAUAGAAUUGUUCCCUUCGGGGACAGAGAUACAGGUGGUGCAUGGUUGUCGUCAGCUCGUGUCGUGAGAUGUUGGGUUAAGUCCCGCAACGAGCGCAACCCCUGUUAAUAGUUGCCAUCAUUUAGUUGGGCACUCUAUUGAGACUGCCGUAGACAAUACGGAGGAAGGUGGGGACGACGUCAAAUCAUCAUGCCCCUUAUGGGCUGGGCUACACACGUGCUACAAUGGUCUGGAACAGAGGGAAGCGAAGCCGCGAGGUGAAGCCAAUCCCAGAAACCAGAUCCCAGUUCGGAUUGCAGGCUGAAACUCGCCUGCAUGAAGUUGGAGUUGCUAGUAAUCGCAGAUCAGAAUGCUGCGGUGAAUGCGUUCCCGGGUCUUGUACACACCGCCCGU